GUGCGUUCUCAUGCGUGAGCCUUGAAACUGAACACGUUCGAGUUUCUGAAGUUCUGAAGGUCCAUAAAACGGUUCACGUUAUAUACGGAGUGGCACAUUCGAAAGCUUCCUAAAUCCCGGUUGUACGUGAUUCUCCUUCUUUUUGUUUGGGACAGGAAGUGAUAACAACACUGACCCCAAACGUCGCCUGUGUAAACAAGCUCAAUUGAUACAAGUUGCUUCUGAUCCAAACUUUUGUCACGAGACAACAAGAGGGAAAGCAGGAAGGUUGCUAUCAACACAGUCUCCAAACAGAAGCUCGACCUCCAUGUGUCACUUCACCCCCCCCGGCCCAGUAAGGCUCGAUGACAUCCACCGUGUUGGUUUGAGGUGGUGCAUGUCGGAACACGUCGUGAGGUGGCAGAUGAAGAAGCUGCAGUAUUUGGCCUUGAGCUCAGGUACCGUAACGACUCUUGGAUUGAUAUUGAAAUGAUGAUGGAACAUGUCAUGCCUGGGCUUGUCUUGUGGCUGACUGUCUAAACAUGUCUACAUGUCUUUUUUCGCGGCCUCUGGCAAAAAGACACAAAAGCUUUUCAAACAUCAGCUUUCAUUUGACUGAUUAAAUAAACCUUUUGUUGAUCUCAAUUUGUGCAAGAGAAGAUGAAGACUUGUCUUUUGUGCUGACACAAUCCUAAUA